rfam:Triticum aestivum genome assembly, contig: Triticum_aestivum_CS42_TGACv1_scaffold_433544_5DL
CUUAUACUCCCUCCGUCUCAAAAUUCUUGUCUUAGAUUUGUUUACAUACAGAUGAAUCUAUUCACAUUUUCAUGUUAGAUACAUCUAUAUCUAGAUAAAUCUAAGACAAGAAUUUUGGGACGGAGGGAAUAUUAA